UUGUUGGUAAGGUAAAAGCUUACCAAGGCUUCGAUCAGUAGCUGGUCUGAGAGGACGACCAGCCACACUGGGACUGAGACACGGCCCAGACUCCUACGGGAGGCAGCAGUGGGGAAUUUUGGACAAUGGGGGCAACCCUGAUCCAGCCAUGCCGCGUGAGUGAAGAAGGCCUUCGGGUUGUAAAGCUCUUUCAGCCGGAACGAAACGGUUACGGUUAACACCCGUGACUACUGACGGUACCGGAAGAAGAAGCACCGGCUAACUACGUGCCAGCAGCCGCGGUAAUACGUAGGGUGCGAGCGUUAAUCGGAAUUACUGGGCGUAAAGCGUGCGCAGGCGGUUUUGUAAGUCAGAUGUGAAAGCCCCGGGCUCAACCUGGGAACUGCGUUUGAAACUACAAGACUAGAGUGUGGCAGAGGGGGGUGGAAUUCCGCGUGUAGCAGUGAAAUGCGUAGAGAUGUGGAGGAACACCGAUGGCGAAGGCAGCCCCCUGGGUCAACACUGACGCUCAGGCACGAAAGCAUGGGGAGCAAACAGGAUUAGAUACCCUGGUAGUCCAUGCCCUAAACGAUGUCAACUAGUUGUCGGGCCUUUACGGGCUUGGUAACGUAGCUAACGCGUGAAGUUGACCGCCUGGGGAGUACGAUCGCAAGAUUAAAACUCAAAUGAAUUGACGGGGACCCGCACAAGCGGUGGAUUAUGUGGAUUAAUUCGAUGCAACGCGAAAAACCUUACCUACCCUUGACAUGUAUCGAAGCCCGCAGAAAAGCGGGGGUGCCCGAAAGGGAACGAUAACACAGGUGCUGCAUGGCUGUCGUCAGCUCGUGUCGUGAGAUGUUGGGUUAAGUCCCGCAACGAGCGCAACCCUUGUCAUUAAUUGCCAUCAUUUAGUUGGGCACUUUAAUGAGACUGCCGG
rnacentral:rRNA from 1 species